UACGGCUCAGUAACACGUGGACAACCUGCCCUGCGGUGAGGGAUAACUCCGGGAAACUGGAGAUAAUACCUCAUAGUUUACCAUCGCUGGAAUGCCUGGUAAGCGAAAGGUCCGCCGCCACAGGAUGGGUCUGCGGCCGAUUAGGUUGUUGUUGGGGUAACGGCCCAACAAGCCUGUGAUCGGUACGGGUUGUGGGAGCAAGAGCCCGGAGAUGGAUUCUGAGACACGAAUCCAGGCCCUACGGGGCGCAGCAGGCGCGAAAACUUUACAAUGCAGGCAACUGUGAUAAGGGAACCCCGAGUGCCCGUAUGGACGGGCUGUUCAGGUGCUUAAAAACCACCUGGAGAAAGGGCUGGGCAAGACCGGUGCCAGCCGCCGCGGUAAUACCGGCGGCUCGAGUGGUGGCCACUAUUACUGGGCUUAAAGCGUCCGUAGCUUGGUCGUUAAGCCUCUGGGGAAAUCUUCCGGCUCAACCGGAAGGCGUCUCAGGGGAACUGGCGGCCUAGGGAUCGGGAGAGGUGAGAGGUACUCUGGGGGUAGGAGUGAAAUCCUGU
rnacentral:rRNA from 1 species